rnacentral:rRNA from 1 species
AAUCCCGGCUCGGGGAGGUAGUGACAAAAAAUAACAAUGCGGGACUCUUAUGAGGCUUCGUAAUUGGAAUGAGUACAUUCUAAAUCCUUUAACGAGGAACUAUUGGAGGGCAAGUCUGGUGCCAGCAGCCGCGGUAAUUCCAGCUCCAAUAGCGUAUAUUAAAGUUGUUGCGUCUAAAAAGCUCGUAGUUUGAAAACUUGCCUUGGCUUACAACAGACGUCUAAGGGCGUCACCGUUUGUCGAGAGCAAAUAUGGGUGACUGUUCUUGCCUUCUUCACUGAUUGGCUCGUAAAAGUCAUCGAAGAUCGCUUUGAUUAAAUUAGGGUGCUCAAAGCAAGUGUGCUACUUGAAUAUGAAUGCAUGGAAUGAUGGAAUAUGUUGUUGUUCUAUUUGUUGGUUUUUUGAAUGACGAAAUGAUUGAAAGGAACUGUUGGGGGCAUUCGCAUUUGUGAGAGAGGUGAAAUUCUUAGACCAUAGCAAGACGAACUACUGCGAAAGCAUUUGCCAAGAAUGUUUUCAUUGAUCAAGAACGAAAGUUAGAGGUUCGAAGGCGAUCAGAUACCGCCCUAGUUCUAACCAUAAACUAUGCCGACUAGCAAUUUGCUUUGUAUUUUUAUGACUAAGUGAGAGGCCACGGGAAACCAAAGUAGGGUUAUGGGGGAAGUAUGGUUGCAAAGCUGAAACUUAAAGGAAUUGACGGAAGGGCACCACCAGGAGUGGAGCCUGCGGCUUAAUUUGACCCAACACGGGAAAACUUACCUGGUCCUGACACUAGAAGGAUUGACAGAUUGAUAGCUCUUUCUUGAUUUGGUGGAUGGUGGUGCAUGGCCGUUCUUAGUUAGUGGAGUGAUUUUUCUGGUUAAUUCCGAUAACGAACGAGACUCUAGCCUAUUAAAUAAUAUGCGGAAUCAAUUUCUCCCGCGUUAUUUCUUAAUGGGAUCAAGCGUGUUUAACGCUUUGAAACAGAGCAAUAACAGGUCUGUGAUGCCCUUAGAUGUUCGGGGCUGCACGCGCGCUACAUUGAAGAACAAAGUGAGCCCUCUGGCUUUUAACAAAGCUAGAAAUCUUUUAAUGUUCUUCUUAAUGGGGAUAGGGGAUUGCAAUUGUGCCCCUUGAACGAGGAAUUCCCAGUAAGUGCUAGUCAUUAGCUAGUACUGAUUACGUCCCUGCCCUUUGUACACACCGCCCGUCGCUACUACCGAUUGAAUAGUUUAGUGAGAUCAUCUGAGUGUUUGUAUGUGCAUUCUGUGCUUGUAUGGUGUACGAAGAAGAUCAAACUUGAUUAUUUAGAGGAAGUAAAAGUC